rnacentral:lncRNA from 1 species
AAUAAUGUGAAAUACUAUUACAAUCUAAAAUAGCUGUUUUGUAUUUUAAAAUAUUUUAAAAAUAAAAUGUCAUUUACUUUUGUGAUGCAAAGCUGAAUUUUCAGCAUCAUUACUCCAGUAUUCAGAAAUCAUUCUAAUAUGCCGAUCGAGUAACAUUUCUUAUUAUUAAUGUUGAAAACAGCUGUACUGCUUAAUAUUUUUGUGGAAACAUAUAUGCAUUUUUUUUCAGGAUCCUUUGAUGAAUAGAAAGUUCAAAAAACUAUUUAUUUGAAAUGGAAAUCUCGUACGUUUCUUUAGUGUCACGUUUGAUCGAUUAAAUUUGUCCUUGUCUGAAAAAAAUAUCAGUUUCUUAAAAAUAAAUAAAAAAAUUGUAAUGGUAGUGUUCUCUAAACGUUUCUAAAUAUUUAUAUAUAUAUUGAUGCAUGCAGUUUUCCCCAUGAUUUUCUUGUGUAAAAGAUAUAACUGACACUCAGUCGUACCAUUUUGUUCAGAUCUUGCCUGGUGGUGAUCAGACGGAGGUUGGAGAGAACAGUGUCACUCUGUGGCUGUUCUGCUCUCCCUUUUUCUAAUGCAAGGUAUUAACAACUGUAUCAAUAUCAGCUGUAUGUAUUAUAAAAUAUUACUACAAUAACUACUUGGAUUUGUCCUACACAGCCUCCAAAAAUGUGUCUGACUGGUGGCUUUCUCAAUGGAUUUCCCAUUUGAAGGACAACACGACUGAGCUGGUGUCAGUGUCAGCUUCCUCUCUCCUGAGAGACUUGUGUGAGGCCACUAUGACGUUUUUUGACACUACACCCUUGGGUCUUAUCCUCCUGGUCAAUGUGUUUGGGCUGCUCGGGAUGCUGCUUGUCAUGAGCUAUGGGCUGCCUUGGGUGCUGCUUCCUUUACUUCCUCUGGGGGUGCUCUACUACCAAACUCAGUGUCGUGAGCUCAAAGUCAAACAUGUGUAGCCUCACGCUUUCUCCAGUUUAUUCACACUUCUCCAAAACGCUCAGCGGCCUGUCUACAGUGUGGGCCAGUGCACGCACUACCAGGUCUGAAAACUAGCUGUACUAUUGUACUCAAAUCAUUUCAUUUGCAUUGAUGUUUGAUAUUUGCAAAAAUUAUUUUGCAUAAAGAAAAUUAAGCUGUUUGUUGCAUUGUGACAUUAUUUUUCUGACUAUUAUUAAUUAUUGCUUUAGGAAUGAUUCUUCUGAUCAGCAUCAAUUAAAAUCACUACAGCAAAUGCUACUAAUUUAACUUUUUUGUAAAAUAAUGUUAUUAUCAUAUAGGACUAUUCUGUAUUACAAUUCUUUUAUUACAGUAAAGUACUUGUAAAAAAUGUAUAGCCUGAAUGCACUUUGCAUAAAAGCGUCUGCUAAAUGCGUAAAAUUGUUUAAAGUUUUUUUUUUUUUUUUUGCUUUUUAGAGGAAAAUUUCGUUAUAAUUAGCAAAUUGUCUCUGUAAUAUGUUGUCUUUUCUCAUUUGACUUUGAGGUUGAACUCUGACCUGAGAAUCAGCGCUGU